AUGAAACUUCAAAGUCGACUUGUUCUGUCUGUUGCUGGUGGAAACACAUGUGCACGUUAGGACAGGUCGCAAAUCCACACACCUGUGCAUCUUAUGACUCGUAGUUGCCAUUUGUAUGGUCUUCAUCAGGCCUGGUGACUCGAGUAUUUUACACACUCUUGCAUGUAAUGGAAUGUUUCUUGUGCAUAAUGUACAACCAAAA
rnacentral:misc_RNA from 1 species